rnacentral:rRNA from 1 species
GGGCGUUAAGUUGCAGGGUAUAGACCCGAAACCCGGUGAUCUAGCCAUGGGCAGGUUGAAGGUUGGGUAACACUAACUGGAGGACCGAACCGACUAAUGUUGAAAAAUUAGCGGAUGACCUGUGGCUGGGGGUGAAAGGCCAAUCAAACCGGGAGAUAGCUGGUUCUCCCCGAAAGCUAUUUAGGUAGCGCCUCGUGAAUUCAUCUCCGGGGGUAGAGCACUGUUUCGGCUAGGGGGCCAUCCCGGCUUACCAACCCGAUGCAAACUGCGAAUACCGGAGAAUGUUAUCACGGGAGACACACGGCGGGUGCUAACGUCCGUCGUGAAGAGGGAAACAACCCAGACCGCCAGCUAAGGUCCCAAAGUCAUGGUUAAGUGGGAAACGAUGUGGGAAGGCCCAGACAGCCAGGAUGUUGGCUUAGAAGCAGCCAUCAUUUAAAGAAAGCGUAAUAGCUCACUGGUCGAGUCGGCCUGCGCGGAAGAUGUAACGGGGCUAAACCAUGCACCGAAGCUGCGGCAGCGAACGUAUCACUUAAAGCGAUUCAGCGGGUUACGAUUGACGGAGCGAAGCGACGUCAAAGCGUAUACAAAGUCGAGUCGGUUUAAGGAUACGUUCGUUGGGUAGGGGAGCGUUCUGUAAGCCUGYGAAGGUGGCCUGUGAGGGUUGCUGGAGGUAUCAGAAGUGCGAAUGCUGACAUAAGUAACGAUAAAGCGGGUGAAAAGCCCGCUCGCCGGAAGACCAAGGGUUCCUGUCCAACGUUAAUCGGGGCAGGGUGAGUCGACCCCUAAGGCGAGGCCGAAAGGCGUAGUCGAUGGGAAACGGGUUAAUAUUCCCGUACUUGGUGUUACUGCGAAGGGGGGACGGAGAAGGCUAUGUUGGCCGGGCGACGGUUGUCCCGGUUUAAGCGUGUAGGUGUGUGUUCCAGGUAAAUCCGGUUCACUUUAACACUGAGGCGUGAUGACGAGGCACUACGGUGCUGAAGCAACAAAUGCCCUGCUUCCAGGAAAAGCCUCUAAGCAUCAGGUAACAUCAAAUCGUACCCCAAACCGACACAGGUGGUCAGGUAGAGAAUACCAAGGCGCUUGAGAGAACUCGGGUGAAGGAACUAGGCAAAAUGGUGCCGUAACUUCGGGAGAAGGCACGCUGACAYGUAGGUGAAGUGAUUUACUCAYGGAGCUGAAGUCAGUCGAAGAUACCAGCUGGCUGCAACUGUUUAUUAAAAACACAGCACUGUGCAAACACGAAAGUGGACGUAUACGGUGUGACGCCUGCCCGGUGCCGGAAGGUUAAUUGAUGGGGUCAGCGCAAGCGAAGCUCCUGAUCGAAGCCCCGGUAAACGGCGGCCGUAACUAUAACGGUCCUAAGGUAGCGAAAUUCCUUGUCGGGUAAGUUCCGACCUGCACGAAUGGCGUAAUGAUGGCCAGGCUGUCUCCACCCGAGACUCAGUGAAAUUGAACUCGCUGUGAAGAUGCAGUGUACCCGCGGCAAGACGGAAAGACCCCGUGAACCUUUACUAUAGCUUGACACUGAACAUUGAGCCUUGAUGUGUAGGAUAGGUGGGAGGCUUUGAAGUGUGGACGCCAGUCUGCAUGGAGCCGACCUUGAAAUACCACCCUUUAAUGUUUGAUGUUCUAACGUGGACCCGUAAUCCGGGUUGCGGACAGUGUCUGGUGGGUAGUUUGACUGGGGCGGUCUCCUCCUAAAGAGUAACGGAGGAGCACGAAGGUUGGCUAAUCCUGGUCGGACAUCAGGAGGUUAGUGCAAUGGCAUAAGCCAGCUUGACUGCGAGCGUGACGGCGCGAGCAGGUGCGAAAGCAGGUCAUAGUGAUCCGGUGGUUCUGAAUGGAAGGGCCAUCGCUCAACGGAUAAAAGGUACUCCGGGGAUAACAGGCUGAUACCGCCCAAGAGUUCAUAUCGACGGCGGUGUUUGGCACCUCGAUGUCGGCUCAUCACAUCCUGGGGCUGAAGUAGGUCCCAAGGGUAUGGCUGUUCGCCAUUUAAAGUGGUACGCGAGCUGGGUUUAGAACGUCGUGAGACAGUUCGGUCCCUAUCUGCCGUGGGCGCUGGAGAACUGAGGGGGGCUGCUCCUAGUACGAGAGGACCGGAGUGGACGCAUCACUGGUGUUCGGGUUGUCAUGCCAAUGGCACUGCCCGGUAGCUAAAUGCGGAAGAGAUAAGUGCUGAAAGCAUCUAAGCACGAAACUUGCCCCGAGAUGAGUUCUCCCUGAGACUUAGAGUCUCCUGAAGGAACGUUGAAGACGACGACGUUGAUAGGCCGGGUGUGUAAGCGCAGCGAUGCGUUGAGCUAACCGGUACUAAUGAACCGUGAGGCUUAACCUU